rnacentral:rRNA from 1 species
CGUUGAAACACCGGUUCCCGUACGAUCACCGAAGUUAAGCAACGUCGAGGCUGGUCAGUACCUAGAUGGUGGAUCGCUUUGGAAUACCAUGUGCUGUAA